rnacentral:rRNA from 1 species
GAGGCCGUUCUAAACUGCAGAACUAGAGGAUGGUAGAGGGAGGUGGAAUUCCAGGUGUAGCGGUGGAAUGCGCAGAUAUCUGGAGGAACACCAGUGGCGAAAGCGGCCUCCUGGACCAUUGUGACACUCAGACGCGAAAGCUAGGGUAGCAAACGGGAUUAGAGACCCCGGUAGUCCUAGCCCUAAACGAUGUAGACUAGACGUCGGUGGUGUAAUAGCUGUCGGUGUCCAAGCUAACGCGAUAAGUCUACCGCCUGGGGACUACGGCCGCAAGGUUAAAACUCAAAGGAAUUGACGGGUCCCCGCACAAGCAGCGGAGCGUGUGGUUUAAUUCGUUGCUACACGAAGAACCUUACCUGGGUUUGACAUAGCAGUGGUAGGGAAGAGAAAUCGGACCGACCCUUCGGGGAGCUGUUACAGGUGUUGCAUGGCUGUCGUCAGCUCGUGUCGUGAGAUGUUCGGUUAAGUCCGCUAACGAGCGCAACCCGCGUUGUGUGUUAUAUGUGUCACACAAUACCGCCGGUAUUAAGCCGGAGGAAGGUGCGGAUGACGUCAAGUCAGCAUGACCUUUAUAUCCAGGGCUACACACACGCUACAAUGGACAGUACAACAGGUUGCCAAGCCGCGAGGCGGAGCCAAUCCUCUAAAGCUGUCCUCAGUUCAGAUUGCAGGCUGCAACUCGC